rnacentral:lncRNA from 7 species
UAGAAAUUGAUUGGUGUAAAUUGAACUCUGCCAUUAUCUAAGGGGGAAUGCAAACUGAAGGAUAAAUAUUAAAUAGUAACUCCAACUAACAAAUGACCUAAAAAUCAAAUUGUAUAAUAUGAGCUUUUCACUAAUUCAAACAAUUGUGUAAGUAUAUCAGCAAGUUUUAAUGCACCAAAAAAUACCACAACUGACAAAGGACAACAAAUAAAGGUGCACAAAAAAAUCAACACUCACAACCUACUUGAACAGGUAGAUGUUUUGGUACAGUUUGAAGCACGCUCAAGAUAAACGAGCAAAUCUCAAAUCAUUUUUGAGAUUUAAACUGACUAAUCAAUUAGAGUAGCUGAAGACGUCUCAGAUAGACAUGCUUCUAUAUCAAAACAAGAUAUUUCAAGCUGAAUGUCACGGUUUAUGCAUCCAAACUUUCAUAUUAUAACUAUACACAAUUAUAUGUCCAUUCAAGCAAUCACAAUAUACAAACAAAGUUAAAAUUUUUUUUGCAGUUUACCUAGGCCUGAAAUACACAUGCAGGUGCAUGGCACCAAAGCAAACUGUUAAUAAAUCAAGUUAUUUGUGAUUACACGAGUCAAAUGGAAAAAACAUGCUUUGUUAGCUUAGCUCUUCAUUCAAGCUAACAAUGAAUAAGCAUGCACAGAUAAAUAUUUUGCAAUAAGAGGAGAUAGAAAGAUAGCUAAUAUUUUAUUGUGCUUAAUUGUGGCAAUAAGCAUGUAGGCUUUAUAAAGUUUGCAUCAGUUCUCAAAAGAUAAAACUCACGAGCAAGUUGACUCUGUAUGGAGAAUCAUCAGUGGGAAGUAAUUAAUACAUAAACCUCCAU